GGCCCCGUAGCUUAGCCUGGUGGAGCGUACGACUGAUAAUCGUAAGGUCCCGUGUUCAAAAAAAUUCUGAAAAUCACGGCGGGGCCA
rnacentral:tRNA from 1 species